rnacentral:rRNA from 1 species
UACGUAGGGUGCAAGCGUUUAAUCGGAAUUACUGGGCGUAAAGCGUGCGCAGGCGGUUUGUAAGUUUGUCGUGAAAGCCCCGGGCUCAACCUGGGAAUUGCGAUGAAGACUGCAAGGCUUGAAUCUGGCAGAGGGGGGUAGAAUUCCACGUGUAGCAGUGAAAUGCGUAGAGAUGUGGAGGAACACCGAUGGCGAAGGCAGCCCCCUGGGUCAAGAUUGACGCUCAUGCACGAAAGCGUGGGAGCAAACAGG